rnacentral:lncRNA from 1 species
GAUAUAUUCAAUGAUUGUGACCCCCCUUUAAUUAGUUUCAUACUUGAUCAAGUAGUUGGCGUUCGACAAGGAAGACAACGUAAUGGUUAUGUUUGCUUAUGUUCACUAUUAAUUAUAUUGUCAUGGAUCCUUUAACAUGUGGUGCUUGCUUUAGAUCCUUUGCUAGCCCAAAAAUUCGCACUAAGUAGAGAUACUACUUGUGCAUCCAUAACCCUAAAACCUAGUUUCUUGCAUUGAAAGCCCACCAUACCUACACAUGGACUGAAUAAGAUCCUUCAAGUAAGUCAUUACCGGUGCACAAAGCAAUAAAAAAUUCUUCUAAACAUGUAUGAUCUUUCAUUGUAAGGUAUAAUAUUCUUUGUACGAUCUUGUUAUGGCAAAGAAGUAAAUGCGACAGACUACAUAAUAAAGUUUGCUAUCACAAGGGGAAUAUAAAGUUGUGUUCCUUUCCAUUAGGAGUUUGUACAUCCAAAAAUAAAAA